CCUACGGGGGGCAGCAGUGGGGAAUAUUGGACAAUGGGGGCAACCCUGAUCCAGCCAUGCCGCGUGUGUGAAGAAGGCCCUCGGGUUGUAAAGCACUUUCAGUGAGGAAGAACGCCUGGUGGUUAAUACCCAUCAGGAAAGACAUCACUCACAGAAGAAGCACCGGCUAACUCCGUGCCAGCAGCCGCGGUAAUACGGAGGGUGCGAGCGUUAAUCGGAAUUACUGGGCGUAAAGCGCGCGUAGGUGGCUUGAUAAGCCGGUUGUGAAAGCCCCGGGCUCAACCUGGGAACGGCAUCCGGAACUGUCAAGCUAGAGUGCAGGAGAGGAAGGUAGAAUUCCCGGUGUAGCGGUGAAAUGCGUAGAGAUCGGGAGGAAUAUCAGUGGCGAAGGCGGCCUUCUGGACUGACACUGACACUGAGGUGCGAAAGCGUGGGUAGCAAACAGGAUUAGAUACCCCUGUAGUC
rnacentral:rRNA from 1 species